rnacentral:rRNA from 1 species
GGCUAGUGUCGCGACCUGCGUUCGUGGUGCUUCUUAGAGGGACUGACCACGUUUAGUGGUAGGAAGUUUGAGGCAAUAACAGGUCUGUGAUGCCCUUAGAUGUUCUGGGCCGCACGCGCGCUACACUGACAAAGCCAGCGAGUAUAUAACCUUGGCCGGAAGGCCUGGGCAAUCUUGUGAAACUUUGUCGUGCUGGGGAUAGACCAUUGCAAUUAUUGGUCUUCAACGAGGAAUUCCUAGUAAGCGCAAGUCAUCAGCUUGCGUUGAUUACGUCCCUGCCCUUUGUACACACCGCCCAUCGCUACUACCGGUG